GAAUCUUCCACAAUGGACGGAAGUCUGAUGGAGCAACGCCGCGUGAGCGAAGAAGGUCUUCGGAUCGUAAAGCUCUGUUGUAAGGGAAGAAUAAGUACAGUAGUAACUGGCUGUACCUUGACGGUACCUUACAAGACAGCCACGGCUCACUACUUGCCAGCAGCCGCGGUAAUACGGAGGUGGCAAGCGUUGUCCGGAAUUAUUGGGCGUAAAGCGCGCGCAGGGGGCCUUUUAAGUCUGAUGUGAAAGCCCACGACUCAACCGUGGAGGGUCAUUGGAAACUGGGGGACUUGAGUGCAGAAGAGGAAAGUGGAAUUCCAAGUGUAGCGGUGAAAUGCGUAGAGAUUUGGAGGAACACCAGUGGCGAAGGCGACUUUCUGGUCUGUAACUGACGCUGAGGCGCGAAAGCGUGGGGAGCAAACAGG
rnacentral:rRNA from 1 species